rfam:Helianthus annuus linkage group 1, whole genome shotgun sequence.
UAGAUAUUUCCCCUCCAAACCGAUAAAAUUGGAACGAUACAGAGAAGAUUAGUAAGGCCCCUCCGCAAGGAUGAAACGCACAAAUCGAGAAUUAAAGUGGUAGCUA